GGCGACGUGCCCGAGUGGCCAGGGAGCGGUCUGCAAAACCGUGUACACGGGUUCGAAUCCCGUCGUCGCCUCCA
rnacentral:tRNA from 1 species